AUUGAACGCUGGCGGCAGGCCUAACACAUGCAAGUCGAGCGCGCGGCGGACGGGUUAGUAAUGUCUGGGGAACUGCCUGAGGGAGGGGGAUCACUACUGGAAACGGUCGCUAAUACCGCAUCCAGUAAGCUGUGCCCAGAUGGGAUUAGCUAGUUGGUGGGGGAACGGACCACCUAGGAGACGAGCCCGAGCUGGGCUGAGAGGAUGACCAGCCACACUGGGACUGAGACACGGCACAUACUCCUACGGGAGGCAGCAGUGGGGAAUAUUGCACAAGGGGCGCAAGCCUGAUGCAGCCAUGCCGCGUGUGUGAAGAAGGCUUUCGGGUUGUAAAGCACUUUCAGCGGUGAGGCGUUACCCAAAGAAGAAGCACCGGCUAACUCCGUGCCAGCAGCCGCGGUAAUUC
rnacentral:rRNA from 1 species